GAUGAACGCUGGCGGCGUGCCUAAUACAUGCAAGUCGAGCGAACAGACGAGGAGCUUGCUCCUCUGACGUUAGCGGCGGACGGGUGAGUAACACGUGGAUAACCUACCUAUAAGACUGGGAUAACUUCGGGAAACCGGAGCUAAUACCGGAUAAUAUAUUGAACCGCAUGGUUCAAUAGUGAAAGACGGUUUUGCUGUCACUUAUAGAUGGAUCCGCGCCGCAUUAGCUAGUUGGUAAGGUAACGGCUUACCAAGGCAACGAUGCGUAGCCGACCUGAGAGGGUGGUCGGCCACACGGGAGCGGAGACACGGUCCAGACUCCUACGGGAGGCAGCAGUAGGGAAUCUUCCGCAAUGGGCGAAAGCCUGACGGAGCAACGCCGCGUGAGUGAUGAAGGUCUUCGGAUCGUAAAACUCUGUUAUUAGGGAAGAACAAAUGUGUAAGUAACUAUGCACGUCUUGACGGUACCUAAUCAGAAAGCCACGGCUAACUACGUG
rnacentral:rRNA from 1 species